rnacentral:misc_RNA from 1 species
AACGCACCUUGCGCUCCCUGGUAUUCCGGGGAGCACGCCUGUUCGAGUGUCAUGAAGCUCUCAAGCAGUAUACUUUAUUGUUAUACUUGUUUGGAUUUGAACUCUGCCGUGUUACAGCGGCUGGUUCUAAAUGUAUUAGCUGGUCCUUGAUUUUCUUGGUUCUACUCGGCGUGAUAAUUAUCUAACGUUGAGGACAUCUCUUAAUUGAGGUGGCCAGGGUUUUCUAUGGAUUGCUUCUAAUCGUCUUCACCGACAAUAUUUUCAAUAUCUGACCUCGAAUCAGGUGGGACUACCCGCUGAACUUAA